CAGCCCUAAACGAUGCGCGUUAGGUGUAUCGGUGACCACGAGUCACCGAGGUGCCGAAGGGAAACCGUGAAACGUGCCGCCUGGGAAGUACGGUCGCAAGGCUGAAACUUAAAGGAAUUGGCGGGGGAGCACUACAACGGGUGGAGCCUGCGGUUUAAUUGGACUCAACGCCGGGAAGCUCACCGGAUAAGACAGCGGAAUGAUUGCCGGGCUGAAGACCCUGCAUGACCAGCUGAGAGGAGGUGCAUGGCGUAGUCGUGU
rnacentral:rRNA from 1 species